AGGGGUGAAAUGAUAUGGUUUGGCUGUGUCCCCACCCAAAUCUUACCUUGAAUUGUAAUAAUCCCCAUGUGUUGAGGUUGGGGCCAGUCAGAGACAAUUGAGUCAUGGGAGUGGUUUCCCCCAUACUGUUCUUGUAGUGAAUAAGUCUCAUGAGAUCUGAUGGUUUUAUAAAUUGGAGCUCCCCUGCAUAAGCUUUCUUGCCUGCUACCAUGUAAGAUGUGCCUUUGCUUCUCUUUUAGCUUCUGCCAUGAUUGUGAGGGCUCCCCAGCCAUGUGGAACUGUGAGUCCAUUGAACCUCUUUUCUUUAUAAAUUGCCCAGUCUCACUCAGGUAUGUCUUUAUUAGCAGCAUGAGAACAGACUAAUACACCUCCAGAAACUGGAAAUUCGUGGGUCCAGAACCCAACCAUCUGAUUCAGGACAUAUAGGGUGGGGCCCCAGGAAUCUGUCUUUGAUAAGGCCUCCCGGGUGAUUCUCACAGUUCAGUUGCAGGACCACUGCAUCAGGGCAUGGGGACUACAGGCCUCCUUCCCCUUUGUUUCCUUUGCACCCAGGGUUGGACAAACUGAACCUCUGAGAGAUAUGAAAAGGCUUCCAUUGGAGGUUUCUGUAAAUAGCACAACUGCAUGUUUUGUCAUAAAUUAGUAAGUCCAGGAUGUGGAAAAAAAAUAUAUCUUGGGAUCCAUGGCCUUGUGUGUGUCCUGGGAGAUUUUAGAGCCAGGCUCUGCACAACCCGAAGUCAAGAAAGGGCAUGACUCCUGGGAGUGACAACUUGUUGGAAGCAGAUUCCAACCAUGCUUCCCAUGUGGCCUGAACUGAGAGCUAGCACGGUUUCCCUACUGGCAGGACACCAGUCAACAAGAACAAAGAAAUUGCUCCACCAAGGCUAUCUACUUACGAAGCUGAAAAACUGUUUGAAAGUGGUUAGGAUUCGAUCAGCCAGCACGAGUAGCCUCUUGAGGAGAAGCCAACCUGGAAUGAGAGACGAAGGGUUCUUGAAUCUUCUAAGAGAAGGGCCCUCUGAAGGAACCCAUCUAUGCCCAUCAUAAGCAAUGUCUAAGUAAAUUGUGCCAGAUCCUGUUAUAGUUUCCAAAAUAUUUGCCGUUUCUCCAGCAAAAAGUUGAUAUUAAUAUUUCCCAACUGCUGCCGUCAGGCUUGGCCACGUGACUUGCUUCAGCCAAUAACGUGAGUGAAAUUGAUUUGCCACAUUCUUGCAGAUGCAUGAUUCCACCAUCUUUUUUCCUUCCUUUGCGUCAAGAGCAGCACAUUCCAGAUUGGACCUGCUCCUGUGUCUGGGUGCCUGAAUGAAGAAGCCAUGGAGGAGAGCUGCAGCCAACCUAUGCAGGACACAUAACACAGCAAGCAAUAAAGAUGCUCAGAUGCCAAUGUGCUGAAACAGACAUUACACUUGAGGCUGCGUCUCCCCCGAACUCCUUCCCUAGAAGGAGCCUGGUGUUGGAGCAGGAUCUCACUCCACUGCUGGAGAAGGCCAAGGAAGAGAUGGUCUGUGGAGCCAAUGCCCAGCACAGGGCAGUCUGUCGUCGGUCAGUGAAGCGAAACAGACCAAAGCCUUUCCUCGCCACCACUCGAUUCCUGGAAAAAGUAGUGCCAAGCUGUUUCUCUUCCUACAAACAAUCUAUCAUGCCUGUUGACUAGUCUGCCAAGGAAAGGCUGAAUAUCAGCUCUGUUCUAUGAUCUCCCAUUUCCUGAAGUCUCAGUCCUAACACAGGUUGUGAACCUGCAUGUGGUAAGGUAGAAUUUCUUGGAAUUUAGUAGCAAACAAUGCAAGCAUUGCCUCUGCCCUCCUGGAGCCUACACUCUAGUGCAGUCUGAUGGAAUAAAUGCAUUUAAUACAUAUUAAAUAAUUACAAAGUGAGUAAGGCCCACUGAAGCAACAAACUGGACACUUGUAAUAGAUUGAAAGGGCAGAAGCAGCAGAAAAAAAAAUCUAUUUAAUACAGGGGUUUUCAAACAUUAGUGAAUCAUGAAUUCUAUUUAGAUGUUUAUAGCCAGAUUUUUAAGAAAAUGAAAUAGAAAUGAAUGGAGUUGAAAAAAAUAGGAAUCAUUAGAGUGCAUCACAUAUGUUGUCAAUAUUGCUUUAUAAAACUCGUUUCUGUUGUAUAUAUGUAUUAUGUAUUUGUGCAGUAAUUGGCUCAUAAUAUAAAAUGUAGUUGUUAUAGUGAAUUGUGGUAAAACAUUUGAAAAACCUAAUUUACAAUAUGGUUUCAGAGAAUCUGGGGAAGACAUUACAGUGAAUUGGCUGACUUGAUAAUUAUAUUUUUAUUUACCAGUGAAACUUAAUGCUCAUGCUUGUACUUCUAAAAUGAAACAAUAAAAAUUAAAACCAAUCUUUUAUUAAAGGAA